ensembl:lncRNA
UUGGAGUCAGGGAGGCACAGCAGAACUGAGCACUGCCGGCUCAUGCCCAGCUGCAAACACAACCCUCCCUUCCCAAAGAGAAGAAGAGAGAGGGGAAAAGCAUAAGGGGAAACAAGCCUGAUGCAUCUGGCUGUGGAGCUGCUGCCCUGGACCGUCCCUGUUCUUGCUGCUGUGGAAGAGCUCCAGCCUUCACCUUGCUGCCAGGUCUGCAAGUGGCAAUGGGCUCACCGUGUGGGCAGAUACAGAACAGCUCCAGCGGCUCGAGCAGACUUUGUGAGGCUGGUGGUCUUGAGGAAAAUGUUUGGACUCCCCUGGCUUCCGAACCUGUACAAUCAACACAGCUUUCUGCUUAUGGCAAUCAGGUUCCCAGAUCAGCAUGGUGCACGGGAAAAGCGUUUGCCCAAACAUGUCAUCAGAAACUGACUUCCAAAAGGCUUUUCUCAAGUUGGAGAAUACAAACAGAUGUGUGAUAUUUUUCCAUUUCAGAGCAAUCCUUGAAAUAUCACUAUGAUGCAGAUUAUCUUCAUGACUCCUUCAUCCCAGCAUCCACAGAGGGAGAGUUAUUGAAAUUUGCAGAUGCAUCAUGUUGGAGAACUCUCAGUUUAGUGCGGCAGUUCUUGAAAAUAUAUUGGCCCAGCUGAAAGUAUUGGGGAAAAGAAGAUUAUCUCUGGCAUGGGACCACACUGCAACAGCCCCUGUUCUCAGAGAAGAAGCUCUAAUCUAAAAUCUAUCAGACUAUUUCUUCGUCUUCUAAUCUCCUCCUAAAUGAAAAUAGAAUUAUUCAGCUUUCUGUCAUGAUCUAUAGAGAAGUGUGAAGUUAAAAAUAAAACUCAGCUCUUCCUCAGUGAAUGGACAAUGGCUGUCUUUUUAAACUAAAAGCCCACUGGUCCCAUUGCCUUCUACUAAACAGUCAGGCAUCACAGAAGGGUUUUUUGGUGUUUGAGGCUCAGUUUGCCCAGAGAUUAAUAAUUGCAGCAAGGAGAAGUGCAGAGAGGUUGGACAUCUUUACUUCCUGCAGUACUACCACCACAUGUCUGACUCCAGCACCAGGCAGCUGGAAUUUAAAUGGGCUGAAAAAUUCACUGAAAUGCUUUGAUGUUGUAUAGAUGCAGAAUUUGAAAGGAUUAUGGAUGUCUAUUUUUAAAAGGAAGUUAAUAAAAGACAUUAUAAGGCUAUGAAAAAUACUGUGUGGUAUAAAGGAAGAUCAGGAAAUUCUUGUUUUUCUCAUAGUGCAGGGAACACAGGCAUUCACAGAAAGAGAUACAGUGUGCAAAAAUAUGCAAACAAGCCAAAAGAAGCCAUUCCCUGCUGGAUUUCACUGUGUCCUGACUGUCCCGCUCAGCUGAGUGGAGACCAUGGGCCAGCCUGCCCAAACCAGCCCUGCUCGCUCCUGUCUCUCACUGAGGUCACCACGAGUAUCACCCUCAGAGUGCUGCAGCUCUGAAAAUUUGUGACUGGAAGCAAAUGGUUUUGAAGGAGAGAAAGAACAGGUGCAGAGAGGUCCUUAUCCUCAGAAAGCCUGCUGAACCACGCCUUUCUCCUUGGAAGAAGUCGUAUUUACACGACAAAUUUACAUGUAGCGGUGACAGUGGCAGAGUAUUUCCAAGAAAGUGGAAUUAUUAAUGUUUUGGCAGGAUGAGAUUG